UUCCUCUUAGAAAAGGAGGUAAGGCCUGCUCACUGAAUUCUUAAAGAGCCGCAGUAUCCUAACUGUGCUAAGGUAGCAUAAUCAUUAGUCUUUUAAUUGGAGACUGGUAUGAAUGGCUAAACGAGAAAUUGACUUUUUUUGUUAUAAAAAUUGAACUUAAUUUUUUAGUGAAAAAGCUAAAAUUUUUCAGAAAGACGAGAAGACCCUAUAGAGUUUUAUAUCUCAGAAUACUCUUUCUAAGUAGAUUUUUUCUGAAAGAGUGUAAACAGGUAUUUUGUUGGGGCGACAUUAAGAUAAGAAAAACUCUUUAUUUUUUAAAUUUUAAUUGAAAUAUGUUUGAUCCUCUAAAAGAGAUCAAAAGGAAAAAUUACCUUAGGGAUAACAGCGUAAUCUUUUUUGAGAGUUCUAAUCGACAAAAAGGUUUGCGACCUCGAUGUUGGACUAAAAUUUAGGCAGGGUGCAGCAGUUCUGCUUUAAGGUCUGUUCGACCUAUAAUAUUUUACACGAUCUGAGUUCAGACCGGCGUAAG
rnacentral:rRNA from 1 species